AGCGAACGCUGGCGGCAGGCCUAACACAUGCAAGUCGAACGGAUCCUUCGGGAUUAGUGGCGGACGGGUGAGUAACACGUGGGAACGUGCCCUUUGGUUCGGAACAACUCAGGGAAACUUGAGCUAAUACCGGAUGUGCCCUUCGGGGGAAAGAUUUAUCGCCAUUGGAGCGGCCCGCGUCUGAUUAGCUAGUUGGUGAGGUAACGGCCUACCAAGGCGACGAUCAGUAGCUGGUCUGAGAGGAUGAUCAGCCACACUGGGACUGAGACACGGCCCAGACUCCUACGGGAGGCAGCAGUGGGGAAUCUUGCGCAAUGGGCGAAAGCCUGACGCAGCCAUGCCGCGUGAAUGAUGAAGGUCUUAGGAUUGUAAAAUUCUUUCAGCGGGGACGAUAAUGACGGUACCCGCAGAAGAAGCUCCGGCUAACUUCGUG
rnacentral:rRNA from 1 species